rnacentral:rRNA from 1 species
GACGAACGCUGGCGGCGUGCUUAACACAUGCAAGUCGAACGGAAAGGCCCUGCUUUUGUGGGGUGCUCGAGUGGCGAACGGGUGAGUAACACGUGAGUAACCUGCCCUUGACUUUGGGAUAACUUCAGGAAACUGGGGCUAAUACCGGAUAGGAGCUCCUGCUGCAUGGUGGGGGUUGGAAAGUUUCGGCGGUUGGGGAUGGACUCGCGGCUUAUCAGCUUGUUGGUGGGGUAGUGGCUUACCAAGGCUUUGACGGGUAGCCGGCCUGAGAGGGUGACCGGCCACAUUGGGACUGAGAUACGGACCAGACGCCUACGGGAGGCAGCAGUGGGGAAUAUGGCACAAUGGGCGGAAGCCUGAUGCAGCAACGCUGCGUGCGUGAUGACGGCCUUCGGGUUGUAAACCGAUUUCGCCUGUGACGAAGCGUGAGUGACGGUAAUGGGUAAAGAAGCACCGGCUAACUACGUG